UCUUACCCCUUAAGUCUUGCAUCGACACAAUUCAAGCUCUAUUGAGAUUCAAUUUUAAAGCUCUAAUUCAAGUUCUCUUUUUCGAACCUGAUCAAAAUUAUUUGCAAGCACAAUUAAUGCCUCGCAUUGUUGAGUGCAAAAUUUUCGGUUCCCUUUUUGCUUUCAAGAAGUUUGAAGUUCCCUGCAAAAACUGAUUCGAUUUUGAAGCGAUAUACACAUUUUCCUUAUCCACACACCAACAACCUACCAAUGUCGUCUAGAGAUGGAUCCCGAAGAGUUUAUUUGGAACUUUCUUUAGGCUCCUAAGAGGAGGUUUGGGUUGCAAUCCUUAACAUUACUGGUCCCAUAUCCAAUUGGUCAUUUGCUGACAAUAAGCUAUCAAGUCCGAAAACUGCCGAAGGCGGCCCACCUUCCUACAUAAGCCGACUUACCGGAGCCAGUCAUGAGAAUUGGACCUUUUGGUUGGAGGCUAGCAAUUCUGAAGAUUUAAGGGUGGAUGUGGCUGUGCUUGACCAAAUUUUGGUUGCUGAAACAAGGAAGUUGAAGACACUUUUCCCAGCUUGGGCGGAUGUGGUUGCUUAUUCUAGUUAUUUGUCUACCUAUUUUUAGUUUUUAGUGGCAAAUUUUAUUAUUUUGUUCAAUUUCUGAUACUAUUUUAAUGAAUGUAUGGAUGUCACAAUUAGUCGAACAAUCAAUCCAUGUAUCUAGUGUAGUGGAGAUUACAGAUUCAUUCACUAUCAAGAUGAAU